GAUGAACGCUAGCUACAGGCUUAACACAUGCAAGUCGCGGGGCAGCAUGGGGGUUGCUUGCAAUCUCCGAUGGCGACCGGCGCACGGGUGAGUAACGCGUAUCCAACCUGCCCUUCACCACGGGAUAACCCGGCGAAAGUCGGACUAAUACCGUAUGUUGUCCAUUGACGGCAUCCGAUUUGGACGAAAGGUUUGUCAGUGUAGGUUGGGGAUGCGUCUGAUUAGCUGGACGGCGGGGUGACGGCCCACCGUGGCGACGAUCGGUAGGGGUUCUGAGAGGAAGGUACCCCACACUGGAACUGAGACACAGUCCAGACUGCUACGGGAGGCAGCAGUGAGGAAUAUUGAUCAAUGGGCGUAAGCCUGAACCAGCCAAGUAGCGUGCAGGAUGACGGCCCUAUGGGUUGUAAACUGCUUUUAUACGGGGAUAAAGUGGCCCACGUGUGGGUUUUUGCAGGUACCGCAUGAAUAAGGACCGGCUAAUUCCGUG
rnacentral:rRNA from 1 species